GCUGCAAAAAGGUGGGUUUUUGAUUCGAUUCAGAAUGCUUGGAGAAAGUAUAAGAAUCAACUAUUUAACGACCAUUAUAAACCCUAUGAGAAUGACGAGCUUCGAAUGGAGAAAAGGUCGGUUGAUGUUCCUGAAUCUCAAUUUAGGGAUCUUCUUAAUUAUUGGAACUCUGAUGCCUACAAGAAAAUGUCCCAAACCAAUACCGAGAAUCGCAAAAAGUUGAAAUAUCCACACACUGCUGGCAAAAGAAGUUUUGCUCGAAUAUGUGAGG